GCCUGGCUGGCUCAUUCGGUAGAGCAUGCAACCCUUGAUCUCAGGGUCAUGAGUUCAAGCCCCAUGUUGGGCA
rnacentral:tRNA from 1 species